GAUCAUCUAAAAUGUUUGAAAAACAUGACAACCACUGAUCUCCACAGCCUGGUAAAUUUUAAUGCUACUAAUUAUUGAUUUGAUUGGCUUAGUUUCUAAUCACUGUCAAUGUGUUCCUGUCACAAGCAACCUGUGCUAAUUUCACAUUAGAUAGAAAUGAAACACUUAAGAAGAAAGGCUCAAAGGCUAUUAAAAUAUUUUUCCAUAAUGGGUCAACAGCUGAGUUUUGCAUAGUUAGUUCUCCUUUCAGUCUCCCUGCAGGAACUGGCUGUGUUUAUAGUCCCAUCAGAGGGCUUUAUGUGGAACAAGUCUCUUCUGAAAGUUGUUUGUGCUAAGUCUGCAGGGAUUUGUUUCACUUUGUGGAAAAGACACAGAGAAAGACAUUUGAAAAUGAUGAUGGAGAUUACUGACUUCAUAUUUGAUACUGAAAGCCUAUAGAAACUCAAAACAUACUUUCUCUUGCACUCCAUAUCCUCUGUGUCUGCCUUAAUUCUAGCUGUUACAUCUGAUUUUCUGACCACUUUUGUUCUCUUAUUUCUUAUUACUGCUAUUUCUGGGAGUUACUUGGGGCUUGCUGCAGCACCAAGAUGUAACUUCUCCUUGAAUAAAGCAGCAGCUGAAAGGUGACUUUAGGCCUAAAGGAAUACAUCUGGUGGAGUGCCUGCUCCUGGAUUAGUAUUUGGAGGGCGUGAUACUGAUUCUCUCAGUGCCUUCAGGCUCAACGCCUGCUGCUUUCAUGUGUAUUUGGAGGACUGGCAUCUGAAGAAAUUCUUUGGGACAUAUGCUCCUUCACAUGUGUGAUGAAGUUAAAAAAUCUGCCGCUGCUGUACUUCCUCUUUCUGAUGCAGUGAAGGUUUUUGCACAGGGCACUGUUUUGCAAAAUUAUCAGAGAGAGGGGGAAAGUUUCCAGGGCCUGCUGGUUUCUACUGUGCUUUAAAAAUGUCUCAAUAUAAGGAUUUGCUUUGUUCUGUGCUCUGGUUCCAUUCGCAUCCAGAGCUCUGCUUACAUGCAAAGCCCUGUGAGUUUGCUGGUAGGCAGUAGUUCUGUUCAGGUGUUGGAAGCAAUUGAUGCUGGGCAUUUUAUAAUUCUUGAUUAAUAGUUGAGAGGGUGUAAAGCUUCAUUUCUGACAAACUUCACCUUGCAAAAAAAAAUGGGACCAAAAAUUGCCUUGAGUUUGAGAUACAGAUUGUAUUUCUCUCACUUCUGGUUUAUUCAUCUGGAUUUACUACUACUGGCCCUUGGAAGUUCAAUUUUGCCAAAAGAAUCUUAAGAGAACAUAGAAAUUUAAAAAACUAAGCUGACAGCAAUUAUUUUCCAUUUCCAAUAAACAUUUCUAAAGAUCACUUACAGCCAGGAAAUCAAAAGAUAUUUGAGUCAGAAACAGAAGAGAAAUAGAGAAUAGAGAAACAGAAAUGGGUCUAUGUGUAAUGUCUGUAUGUAUUACACAUGGAAAAUUUCUCUAGUGUGACCAACAAAUUAUGGAGACAACCAAUAGUUUUGUGUUAUAAAAUGUAGUAUUCAGCACUUGGAAUGAUGCUUUGUGUCUUCUGGAAGAUGAGCUUUUCCAUUUUAUUCCUUAAAUUUAUAGCUGAUUUUGUGAGAGUUGUUUAUUUUGCUUCACUUUACAAAUCCAUACAGACCAUACUGCUGAAAUGGUCUGCUUUUUUUGCUGAGCCCUGCAAGACAUUAAAAUAUCUAGGGAGUUGGUCUUACACGUAUCCCUUGUUCUCUCUUUUUUCCCCUGCAACCCACACUAAUUGAGAAGAAGGCCAUUCAAGUUGGAUGCUUGAUGGCUGAGAGAUCUGAUCUGAACAGACUGGGACAAAGAACUGGAGAUAGAGAAACUGAGUCUAAAUUGCGGUGGUGCUGGACAAAGAGGCUGGUCAUAAAGGCUGGUACUUUCUGAGGAUGGAAAGACAGACUAGAAACUGCGGGAGAGAAUUAAUUGCACUGGAAAAGAAAGAAGCAGAGGAGAAAUAAAUAUCACAUAGAUGAAAAUUUGGUAGAGAGUGAAGAUGAGGAGCAGUUCUAUGAAGUAAAUUCUGAAUUCUAUUACUGAAAAAAACUGGGAGCCUUGGAAUUGGAAAGUUGAAAGCAAAACCUCAGUCGGCUUCUUUCACUUGAAUUCAGUCAUCUGUCACACGAUAAGGAAGACCUGAAUUCAGAGUUGAAAUAAGGACAAUUUGAGAAACACUGGCUUACUAGCCUACUUUCAGAAAUUCUCUGGCAGAUAUAUUGAAAAGCAGAUCAAAUAGGAAAGGCAGAGCUUUUUUCUUCUAUCCAAUGACAGUGCAAAUAAAUCACACUGGAAGUUAUCCAAAGGACGGAGCUACAGCAAAGAUUAUAGUGGUCAAUACUUACAGAAUUUAUGCAUGAGUAAGAGUAAAACUGCUUGUGUCUGCAGUCACAGAUAAGAUAGAAGGUUACUACAAGAAGAGUGUGCCAAUGUUCUCAAAGAUUAAACCAUCACUGUAGAAGCAGAUUUCUGAAUGUUUGCAUGUUUAUGAUUUUAAAAGCUUAGGUUUCUUCAGAAUUAAACCUUGUCUCUGAGUGCUCUAUCCUUGAAUUGAUUACUUGUCUUGCUUGUCAUAACUAUUUGGCUUUAGUACUUCUGUUAACAUUAAAAUAGUGUGGGAAAUAGACACUAAGAUUUGUGUUCAGUAAGAAUAUUACAGGCACAGAAAUAUUAUGCAGUACUUGAUGGUAUUCAUUGGUUUCACUGUAAAAGGAAAUCUCUGCAAGUGUAUAUUUUAGUUUCAAUACACGAUGGCAGAAUCCAUAUGAUACAUUAUCAAUGCCUUUAACCUCUCACUUAUGUUCUGCACUAAGCCAUCUCUGCAGGGAAUGCAAUAUUCUGGAACAUUUUUUAGUAGAAGUUAUUAAAACACUGUAUGGGGUACAAUAGUCCUGAAGCAAAGACAAACUUUGAGACGUAAGACUUUUUGUUUAUUCUUUUGGAUUAUCUAUCUAUCUAUCUAUCUAUCUAUCUAUCUAUCUAUCUAUCUAUCUGUCUGUCUAUCUACCUAUCUAUCUAUCUAUCAUCUACCUACUUAUUCCUGAUUCAAAUUAAUAAUCCUAGUUUGCACAGUGGAAAAAAGCAACACAAGAUAAUAUCUUAUACAUAUUUUACUGAACAAAGGGAGGUUGUUUUGUUGAUAUAUGCAUCAAGAAAGUUGGAAUAUCUGUGAUAGAAUUGCUACAGUGUCUGUUAAACCUACGCAUGUCUGACUCAUGUUGAUGCAGAGGCUGAUUUGCAUAUGUGCCUGUUUACAAAUGGAAAUGAAAUGAAACACAGAGCUGCAAGACUAUAAUCCUGUGUUCUGCAUAUGCAGGCUGGGAUCAAAUCACUGCACACUGUUAUCUAACAGUUUAGGAAAUCUCUAUCUUAUUGUCUUACUUUGCAACAGCACUGUCUUUUCAUUUUUUGGUUAUGUUAAAAAUAAUAAAAAUGGCACACUGUGAUGAGAAA